rnacentral:rRNA from 1 species
AACGAACGCUGGCGGCAGGCUUAACACAUGCAAGUCGAACGGUCUCUUCGGAGACAGUGGCAGACGGGUGAGUAACACGUGGGAACGUACCCUUUGGUUCGGAACAACCCAGGGAAACUUGGGCUAAUACCGGAUAAGCCCUUACGGGGAAAGAUUUAUCGCCGAAGGAUCGGCCCGCGUCUGAUUAGCUAGUUGGUGAGGUAACGGCUCACCAAGGCGACGAUCAGUAGCUGGUCUGAGAGGAUGAUCAGCCUCACUGGGACUGAGACACGGCCCAGACUCCUACGGGAGGCAGCAGUGGGGAAUAUUGGACAAUGGGCGCAAGCCUGAUCCAGCCAUGCCGCGUGGGUGAUGAAGGCCCUAGGGUUGUAAAGCCCUUUCGGCGGGGAAGAUAAUGACGGUACCCGCAGAAGAAGCCCCGGCUAACUUCGUGCCAGCCGCCGCGGUAAAAC